rnacentral:lncRNA from 1 species
ACUGUCUACAAGGUAGGCGGUUCAUUAAGAAGACCUUUCGCUCUUCUCGCUACUUGCAGCUUCACAGAUUCAUUCACAUAUUUUUUAAUGGAGCUGCCCACCCGAACAUUACCCGAUAACUAUAUUGCUAUAAUUAAGAUUUUUGCCAUGUCUUUAUGUACAGUCUCCUUCACUGCCUUUUAUUUUUUUCCUUAGACAAGCCUCAAAUGCUCACGUCACUCCAGGGGAAACACGCUUCAGAGGCACUGUGAGUGGUGGGUGGCAGGGCAGCACACAAAGGCUGAACAGUGCCACGGAACUGAUGGUUGGAGACACCACUCCCUACUCAUGCCCUUGGGUGACCUUCGCCAUGCUGAAGCUCUGCAGUUCUGGAUUUCAAGGCAAGGCACGUAAUGUGGACAUUAUAUCUUCGUGCAAAUUAGGAUUACUGGAAAGAGUAUUUUUAAUUAAAAUUUUAAGAGACAUAAGAGGCAAAAUGUGUCUGCCCAUGCACACUAUGGAUCUGUCAAUACAAGAAAUUUGUUGAACAAGGCUAAUGUCUGAAAGCACCAUGCAAGUUUUCAGCACCCUGAUUACACUUGUUUUCUCAAGAGUGCGUUUUUAUAUCCUACACCCUGGCGUUCCCAGUUUGUAAACUGUAAGCUUUACCCUUGUGACAUGGAUUUGCCUGCCUCUUUGUCUCUAUAAUGCAGAUUUUAUAGAACCUUUUGUACACCCUAUGGGUUCUUGAUGCAACCAGUAAUUUUAAAUAAAUAAAUUCUACCUCCAAGGAGGCUGCAGCUAAACCAACAUAAGUGCUGUGUUUUCAUUAAUUUUAUUUUUCUCAAGCACAUGAUUUGUCUUGAUUUAAUGCCUUUUUAAUGCCCUCAAAAACUGAGGGGAAAAUAAAUUCGUUCAAAAUUAUUUUAAAUUCUUUUUAAUCCCCUCAAUUUAGAGUCCAAGGGCUGAAGGACUUAUAAUCAUGAUUCCCCUUUAGAUAUAAAUUUAAAAAUUGCACUUGCCUCUGUUAAGUGUUUCUUUUGUGGGGAAAAUAUUAUAUUAAUUUUUACUGUUGCAUGCAGAGAGAACACUUCACCUACAUAGAGGCAUUUCUUCCAUAGAGCCUUUGUGUUCAAACUGUUUUUUUCCUUUUUUCUUUUUUUCCUUUUUUUUUCAUUUUUUCUUUUUUUAAGAUUUCAAACUGGGUUACACACUGGAAAAGGCUGGGUUAAGGGCCGAAAUUUAAUAAAUCUGUACUGAUAACUAAAGGCUACAGAGAUUUCAUAUAUUUUUUUUAACUUUUAGAAAUCAGAGUGCUUAUAAAAUGGCUGGCUCAUGGCUCUGUCACCCAGCACCUCUGACGCCGCCUCCUAGCCUUCGUUGGUGAGAUAACCAGGAAUAGUGAUUCCAUGCGUAAACAACAAGAAUACUAAACCAAUAAAACUAGCUUAUCAUGCAAAUAUUAAGGCAUCUAGAAAGUCAGUUAAAAUAUAUUGUCAUAGAGACAGAACAUCUAUUUCCCAGCGGACUUCAUGUAACAAAGGCUACGUUGCAGGGGCUGCGAUCUACCAUCAGUGAAAUAUCAUCGACCCUUUUUAUGUCAUUACAGUUUCAACCUUAAGGGAAUUAGUGAUUGUAAGUGCUGCAAUUGCUGGUCUAUUAUCUUCUUUCUUCAGUUUCUUUCCUUUCUCCCUUUGUGUUGUUUUGUCCAGUCUUCCUCUUUU